rnacentral:rRNA from 1 species
UACGUAGGGGGCAAGCGUUGUCCGGAUUUAUUGGGCGUAAAGAGCGUGUAGGCGGCCAAGCAGGUCAGCUGUGAAAACUCGAGGCUCAACCUCGAGACGUCGGUUGAAACCGCUUGGCUAGAGUCCGGAAGAGGAGAGUGGAAUUCCCGGUGUAGCGGUGAAAUGCGCAGAUAUCGGGAAGAACACCCGUGGCGAAGGCGGCUCUCUGGGACGGUACUGACGCUGAGACGCGAAAGCGUGGGGAGCGAUCCGG